rnacentral:rRNA from 1 species
UACGUAGGGCGCAAGCGUUGUCCGGAAUCACUGGGCGUAAAGGGCGCGUAGGCGGCCGAUCAAGUCGGGGGUGAAAGCCUGUGGCUCAACCACAGAAUUGCCUUCGAUACUGUUUGGCUUGAGACCGGAAGAGGUUAGUGGAACUGCGAGUGUAGAGGUGAAAUUCGUAGAUAUUCGCAAGAACACCAGUGGCGAAGGCGGCUGACUGGUCCGGUUCUGACGCUGAGGCGCGAAAGCGUGGGGAGCAAACAGG